rnacentral:lncRNA from 1 species
AUCAGCCACUGUGCCUGGUUGCAAACGACAUUACCAACUUGUUCCUGUGCACUAUGGUGCCCACUCCAUUCAGGGGGCUGGUGGUUUGGCGGUUAACAUCAGAAGAGGGUAGGCAUCACACUUUAUCAUCUUUCCGUGUCUUCAGUCUUUUGUGGUGUUUCUUGACCUGAGACUCACAGCCUCAUCUUCACUCCUUGUCUUGGGUUUUCUAGGAGACACUUUGUUUUGAUCCUCUGGGACAGGCAAAUGCAAUGUCUAGAAUAAAUGUAUGUGUUAUUAAAUUUCACCCCUAAAUGAAUAAUUCUUGCUGAGAUGCACAGAGUGCAAUGUGAGGAAGUAACAUGAGCCUCAGAAUCCACAGAAUCUCAGACCUACAUGGCAGGAUUGGAAAAUCUUCCAGCAAUCGAAAUUAAGCUACUAAUCAUGUCCUCUC